rnacentral:rRNA from 1 species
AGAGCGAACGCUGGCGGCAGGCCUAACACAUGCAAGUCGAACGGACCCUUCGGGGUUAGUGGCGGACGGGUGAGUAACACGUGGGAACGUGCCUUUAGGUUCGGAAUAGCUCCUGGAAACGGGUGGUAAUGCCGAAUGUGCCCUUCGGGGGAAAGAUUUAUCGCCUUUAGAGCGGCCCGCGUCUGAUUAGCUUGUUGGUGAGGUAAUGGCUCACCAAGGCUACGAUCAGUAGCUGGUCUGAGAGGAUGACCAGCCACAUUGGGACUGAGACACGGCCCAAACUCCUACGGGAGGCAGCAGUGGGGAAUCUUGCGCAAUGGGCGAAAGCCUGACGCAGCCAUGCCGCGUGUAUGAUGAAGGUCUUAGGAUUAGUAAAAUACUUUCACCGGUGAAGAUAAUGACUGUAGCCGGAGAAGAAGCCCCGGCUAACUUCGUGCCAGCAGCCGC